AGUGGGUAACAAAAUGGUACCCUAUUCCCUAUUUAGUGCUUACAUUUUGACCUGGGCGAGCGUCCCAAACAGCACCUAUAGAGGGCUUGCAAGUACGUCACAGAUCACCUAGCAACCCCCAUGUUGGAAGCCCAAACUCAAGUCUGAUGAAGUCCUCCAAUCAUCCACUUGGCUGGCUGCGUUUUGUUACCACCGGAAACUUCGGGAAGAUGUCCCAGGAAAUGGAGUCAGUGGGAGAACCUAUUCAAAUACAGAGUGCUGUGAAACCCUGUCUGCAGAUGAAGAGGUCCCAAUUAAUGUCCCAAGAGAAUAUACCAUGGAUUAUAUAUUAGUACAUUUUUGUGAAGAAAAAUACAGUUUAAAAGUCACACAAUGUAUAAACACAUUACAACUGGAGCAGGCCAACCGUACUGGGUGUGCAGGCUUCUGUUCCAGCCCUGCACUAACACACCUGAUUCAAUGUAUCAAACCUAAUGAGUUAAUAAUCAGGCGUGAUAAUGCUGGACUGGAACAGAAGUCUGUUCCCCCAGUAGAUCAGUGAUGUUGGACACCUCUGGUAUUGACUUUAUUUUUUGUUCACCUGAAAUUGUUUUAGUAAUAACGACAUACGUGUUACUAAAAUGUCUAACCUUUUACCUAGGAGUUAGCUUACACUUUGACCGUGUUGAUUUGUGCAGUUAAGUGUUAAUGUAACCAUUAUUCAAGAUGAACUAGUGUUGAUGUUGAUUGAUCACAGAUUACAAUCCUGCAAUAAAGAGGGGAAUCUGUCUCUAA